rnacentral:rRNA from 1 species
UCAACGCUGGCGGCGCGCUUAACACAUGCAAGUCGCACGAGAAAGGGAGCAAUCCUGAGUACAGUGGCGUACGGGUGAGUAACACGUGGAUCAUCUACCUUCUAGUGGGGAAUACCUCUGGGAAGCCGGAGACAAUACCGCAUAAGCUCGUGAGAGGAAAGCAGCAAUGCGCUGGAAGAGGAGUCCGCGGCUGAUUAGCUAGUUGGCGGGGUAA